GUUGUCGUAGCUUAAAAUUAAAGCAUUACACUGAAGAUGUUAAGAUAGGCUCUAAUACAGCCUCGAAAACA
rnacentral:tRNA from 2 species